AAAAACCCUGUCUUCGUUGCUUUAGCAGACAGGGAAGAAACCCUGGGAAAUCUGUUGUUAUUGGCCUUUGUCAGCUGAAAGGCCCCAGGCUUUUCGCUUCCACCCUUUAUGGAAAGGAAUCCUCCACCCGAGGCUAAUUUACUUCUCAAUCAAGCAGACAAACUUCACUCGCACUUGAUCCUUUUGGGCUGAUGAAGUGGUAUCGGAACUAACUUCCCUUUUGGGGGUUGUAUUGAAAAAUAAUAUAUGGAAGGAUUUCUUACUUGUAAAAUAUCAAAGUAGGAUUCUGGGUUUAGGACAACCAACCGCCGCCUCCUGUUCACUCAUCGGAAGCUCCCAGACACCGGGGAAGCCAAGGCUAGCUCCCGUUUGGAUCUAGUAACUGAAGCUGGGAGAUGAUCCGUUACCAUGGCCGUAUCUUGCUGAAGCCGGAACGAGUCAGAACGCGGUUUCUCCGCCAGCCACUCUCGAUUUCGGAGAUCGGCUGCAGAGAGACGGCGCGCGGUCCUUCACGACUAGCAGAGGCCACCCCUUCUCCUAAAAAAAUGGUCUCCCUCGGCCAGAAUGCCUCGCCGAGCGCCGCGGCUCGGGAGCGCAGGCACGGCGCCCUUUCUGCCCUGAGCCUGCCCAGGAUUAAAGGCGCUCAGCCUCGUUCCGCCGCGGCGGCCGAGACUCGCCUUUCGAUUACAGUGACAGGGAGGAAAUAAAUUGGAAUCGACUCAGGCUGUGCUUUUUGGAGGAAAGUCUUUCCUACUGUAAACAUGUUUCAGGCGAUCCUGUCAGCAGCACUUUAACACCCGUCUUCCGUUUAGGUUUUACGAUGGGGAAAGGAGCUGAAGACGCGCGCGCACGCGCGCACACGCAGCCCAAUGAAGACGCCCCCGUGCCCUCGCGAGCUCCUAGCGCUCUGAAGUGGCAACCGGCCGCCGCUAGCCUGGGGGUCGUUUUACGGCCGCACGCUCCUCAAUCCUCCUACCCCCAGAGUCCCCAUGGCCUUUGGCGAUGGUGCCCGGUUCCAUCACUGACCGGAACUGACAGCCACUUGGCCCCCUUCUCCCGCGCGUGCCCACACCCUUCCCUCUGGACGCCUAAAUGCCCUCUGCGCGCUGUGGGUCUGGAACCUACGCUCUAGCUGGCACACCACGUUCCUCCAGCGGCCGGGUAUCCCCUCCCCUGUCUCUACAGGCUGAGGCCCCUUUAGCUUGCAGCAGCCUGGUCUCUUGCAGGGGGCAGAGGAGGGCGUGUGUGCGCGGCGGGCAGGGGAAGGAAAAAGCCGUGGGGCGAAGGAAGGUUGACAAUUGGUUGCACUCGAAUCCUCAAGAGUCCCCUCCCCAGGGACUUCGGCGGGGCAAUCGUGCCUCAGUGCCCUCACUCAGUGCCCCUCACUCGUGCGGGAAAGGCGGGGCUUGGGGACAGACGCGGAGUCCGGGAGGGCCGCGAGGCGCCCCAGGGUGCCAAGCUCCCUUGCCAAGGGGUGCACCCGAUGCCCCUAGUGAUUCGGCCCCUGGUUUCAGGUCUGAGGAGAGGGACAGGUAAAUAACUGGUAGAGGCUGCGCCCCAGGCGCAGUUACUAGAAGCAAAGCUUCGUGGAGGGGUUCGGCUCGCUUUGUCCCCUUGGAUUCGAGUGUCUCUGUCUUUCCGCGGACCACCGCGGCAGCCAGGCCCGGGAACAAGCGUCCAGGUGGGGCUGCCUCCCCCACCCCGGGGCGCCCCGAAACCAUCCUAGUGACCCCAGCACACGGCGUGGCUGGGAGCACACCCCACGGGAUCCCCACCCCCAACCCAACAGCCAAGUAGAAGCAAUUACAGUU
rnacentral:lncRNA from 1 species